UACGUAGGGUGCAAGCGUUGUCCGGAACCAUUGGGCGUAAAGCGCGCGUAGGUGGCUUCGUAAGUCCGUUGUGAAAGUCAAAGGCUCAACCUUUGAAUGCCGAUGGAUACUGCGAAGCUAGAGUACGGAAGAGGCGAGUGGAAUUCCUGGUGUAGCGGUGGAAUGCGCAGAUAUCAGGAGGAACACCAAUAGCGAAGGCAGCUCGCUGGGACGUUACUGACACUAAGGCGCGAAAGCGUGGGGAGCGAACAGG
rnacentral:rRNA from 1 species